UUCAGUACUGAUAUCAUUGUACUCAGAUGCUCUAUGCAUCUGUUCCCACGCCCGCUCUCUCCCCUGGUCGACAAAGGGUUGGGUGUAACUGGGAUGAUCAGCUUUCAAGUGAUUCUUAAGCUGAGAAUAUGUCCCAGAUCAGAAAUUGCAGUUCUCGAAAGCGCAAGACCUCGGUUUAGCAUUUAGAGCUCUCCUUCCAUCCGGCUGCACCUUCAUCGCCUCAUAGACCUUUCCUCUGCAGUAAAGACAGUCAUGACCUUG
rnacentral:lncRNA from 1 species